ensembl:lncRNA
GGGCUGAGGGCACCAGCUGUACCCCCGUGGGGGGCUCGGGGGGUCAGCCGUCCCCCGUCUCACUGCCCUCUCCCCCAGGCCGAGCCCCCGGUGCCGGCGGACGCGGUGCUGCGCUGGCUGCGGGCGGAGGGCGCGGACCCGCGGCCCCGGCCCAGGAGCUGCUGGGCUUGGCCUGGCGGUUGCUCCGGAGAGCGGAAGACCACGGCUUGGAGAGCUGGAACGGGCGGCGGGAGCAGGACAUGAGAGACGUGGAAAGCUACGUGGGCCACGUGCGUGCCCUGACGGAGGAGCGGGAUGCCAUCGCCUCGGAGUACGAGAGGGAGAAUGAACAGCUCAGGUUGGAGCUGGCACGGCUGCAGCUGCUCCAGGAAGCCCAGCUGAAGGAGGUGGAGGAGCUGCUGCAGCAGGAAGGGCUGUCCCAGAUCGCUCACAGCGCUGCCAGCGAACAGGUCGCCUAUUUGCUGGUGGAGAGGACAGCACUGCUGGGGAAACUGGGGCUGCUCCACAGCACCACAGAGGGCAUCCAGUUCUGCAGGAAAGAGCUGGAGAGGGAGCCUGCAGGAGAUCUGGAUGAUGCUCCCCAGAGGCUGAUGGGGGCCCAGGAAGAGCUCCAGGGGAUGACAGAGGAGUUGGAUGCACCGAGCAAGGAGCAGAGUGCAGCAGGCAGGACUGAACUGCAGGAGGCCAUGGAGCACAACAGCCGGCUGGAUAAGGAGAUCCUGGCACUGCGGGCACGGGUCCAGACGCUGGAUCUGGAGAGGAAAGCAUUCCUGGAGCUGGUGGAGCAGCUCAAGGAGGAGAUCUGUGAAUACCAGAGGAGUGAGAGGCCGGGGCAGCCCCUGCCCGAGGAGCCCGGAGCAGCCUCACUGCAGGGCACUCGGGAUGAAGGGAGGGCUGAAGAUGAGCAUGGGGCAGGAAGAGCCUGGUCCUCCUUGGAUCAGGAGGAUAGAGAUCAGGGGGGUGAAACUCUCCAUAAAAGGUGCCGGGAGGCAAUGGAAAACAUGGAGGGCAGGAAUUCCCAGCUCCUGCACAAGCUGCAGAAACUGGAGCAGGAACAUGAGGAUUUGGUGGAGCGCAAUGAGGAGCUGGAAUCAAUCCUGGGAGAGACUCAGAUCCAGACCAAGCAGGAGAAGGAGCAGUUUGAGAGCGAGGUGGAGGGACUGCAGCAGAAGAUCACCAGUUUGGAAACAGAGUUGCUUGAGGUGCAGAAGAACAGAAGUGAGAUGGACAGGAAGGAGCAGGAGGCGUCUGGAGCACAGGAGAUGCAGGAGAUGUUGGAAAGCUGUCAGGAAACCAUAGACAAGUUGGGAAAUCAUCUGGGAGAGCAGAGGGAGAGGAGGAGGCAACUUAUAUCUGAGCUUGAGCUGCUGAGAGAGGAUCUGAAGGCUGAGAAGGGGGUCCUGGGCAGCCAGGGGUUUCCUGACUCCCAGUUGGAGCUUCCAGGCCACAGUAACACCUCCCCUGGUCUCCAGAGAGCAUCAGCCAGCAGGGAUCUCGUGGAUGUGUCCCAUGAGAAGCACAAGGACAGUGCUUUGUUAGACCCAGAGGUGAGGCAUGGAAGGAAAUCCUGGUUGCCCCAGGGCCUGGAGCAGACAGGAGCUGCUGGGGCUCAGAUCUGAGUGGACUCAUCCUGGUGGAGAUAAGACCACCUGAAAUCGAACUUCCAGUGCUCAGGAAGAGCUACUGGUGAAAAACCUGUAGGAAUCAAUGUUGUUGCUGGUGUUUAGUGGGGAGAACAGUGUCUGAAGGGUUUGGGUUCACC